ACGGGAGGCAGCAGUGAGGAAUAUUGGUCAAUGGGCGGAAGCCUGAACCAGCCAAGUCGCGUGAAGGAUGAAGGUAUUAUGUAUUGUAAACUUCUUUAGACGUAGAGAAAUAAGGGGAUCGUGAUCCCUGAUGCUAGUAUACGUAGAAUAAGGAUCGGCUAACUCCGUGCCAGCAGCCGCGGUAAUACGGAGGAUCCGAGCGUUAUCCGGAUUUAUUGGGUUUAAAGGGUGCGUAGGCGGUAGAUCAAGUCAGUGGUGAAAUGGUGCGGCUCAACCGUAGCAUUGCCGUUGAAACUGGUUUACUUGAGUGCGGACGAGGUAGACGGAAUGUGUUGUGUAGCGGUGAAAUGCAUAGAUAUGACACAGAACACCGAUUGCGAAGGCAGUUUACCAGGCCGCAACUGACGCUGAGGCACGAAAGUGUGGGGAUCGAACAGGAUUAGAUACCCUGGUA
rnacentral:rRNA from 1 species